rfam:Schistosoma mansoni strain Puerto Rico chromosome 3, complete genome
AUCCAACUGACGAGUCCCAAGUAGGACGAAACUUGAGUCCUGGAU